UGGGGAAUAUUGGACAAUGGGCGCAAGCCUGAUCCAGCCAUGCCGCGUGUGUGAAGAAGGCCUUUUGGUUGUAAAGCACUUUAAGCGAGGAGGAGGCUACUUGGAUUAAUACUCUAGGAUAGUGGACGUUACUCGCAGAAUAAGCACCGGCUAACUCUGUGCCAGCAGCCGCGGUAAUACAGAGGGUGCGAGCGUUAAUCGGAUUUACUGGGCGUAAAGCGUGCGUAGGCGGCUUCUUAAGUCGGAUGUGAAAUCCCUGAGCUUAACUUAGGAAUUGCAUUCGAUACUGGGAAGCUAGAGUAUGGGAGAGGAUGGUAGAAUUCCAGGUGUAACGGUGAAAUGCGUAGAGAUCUGGAGGAAUACCGAUGGCGAAGGCAGCCAUCUGGCCUAAUACUGACGCUGAGGUACGAAAGCAUGAGGAGCAAACAGG
rnacentral:rRNA from 1 species